rnacentral:tRNA from 1 species
GGGCUGGUAGCUCAAUGGCAGAGCAUCUGACUCUUAAUCAGCCGGUUGAGGGUUCGACUCCCUCCCAGCCCACCA